rnacentral:rRNA from 1 species
AGAGUUUGAUCCUGGCUCAGAUUGAACGCUGGCGGCAGGCCUAACACAUGCAAGUCGAGCGGUAGAGAGAAGCUUGCUUCUCUUGAGAGCGGCGGACGGGUGAGUAAUGCCUAGGAAUCUGCCUGGUAGUGGGGGAUAACGUUCGGAAACGGACGCUAAUACCGCAUACGUCCUACGGGAGAAAGCAGGGGACCUUCGGGCCUUGCGCUAUCAGAUGAGCCUAGGUCGGAUUAGCUAGUUGGUGAGGUAAUGGCUCACCAAGGCGACGAUCCGUAACUGGUCUGAGAGGAUGAUCAGUCACACUGGAACUGAGACACGGUCCAGACUCCUACGGGAGGCAGCAGUGGGGAAUAUUGGACAAUGGGCGAAAGCCUGAUCCAGCCAUGCCGCGUGUGUGAAGAAGGUCUUCGGAUUGUAAAGCACUUUAAGUUGGGAGGAAGGGCAGUUACCUAAUACGUGAUUGUUUUGACGUUACCGACAGAAUAAGCACCGGCUAACUCUGUGCCAGCAGCCGCGGUAAUACAGAGGGUGCAAGCGUUAAUCGGAAUUACUGGGCGUAAAGCGCGCGUAGGUGGUUUGUUAAGUUGGAUGUGAAAUCCCCGGGCUCAACCUGGGAACUGCAUUCAAAACUGACUGACUAGAGUAUGGUAGAGGGUGGUGGAAUUUCCUGUGUAGCGGUGAAAUGCGUAGAUAUAGGAAGGAACACCAGUGGCGAAGGCGACCACCUGGACUGAUACUGACACUGAGGUGCGAAAGCGUGGGGAGCAAACAGGAUUAGAUACCCUGGUAGUCACGCCGUA